rnacentral:rRNA from 1 species
AGGACUUUUGAGAGCUCACUGACUUCUGAUCCCAUCGGAACUCCAAAGUUAAGCGAGUUCAGGCGAGAGCUAUCCCAGGAUGGGUGACCCACUGGGAAGUUCUCGUGUGAGUUCCC